UGGGGUAUCGCCAAGCGGUAAGGCACUGGUUUUUGGUAUCAGCAUGCGCAGGUUCGAAUCCUGCUACCCCAGCCA
rnacentral:tRNA from 1 species